rnacentral:rRNA from 1 species
AAACUAUUUUACUAUGUAAAAUAGAAUAAAUUAUGGGAGAGAAGCUUCGGGGAGCUUCGGUGUUCUAUUUUACUAUGAAAAAUACGGAGAAAANGGAUUAGUUUUGUAUCUAGCAGAUGAUAUAUCAUGAGAAAAUUUUGAUAUUGGAAUCUAUGACAGAUAGGAAAGGGUGAAAGCCCCAAUUCCCGCAGUUGGUUUGAGAAUAACCGAAGGUACAUUUAGUACACAGCAGAGGAGAAUCUUGGGCAAUGCUCGAAAGAGUGACCUAGCUAACCAGAAUUUCUUUUUAGAAAUGUCGUAAGGGAGGAUAAUGACGUUACCUUACUAUAAGUCCAAUCUAAGUAUCGUGCCAGCAGAUGCGGUUAUACGAACUGGGCAAACGUUAGACAAUUAAAUAGGUAUAAAGGAUCCGUAGGCAGUAAUAAACUUAAGAAUCAAAUAGAGGAGAAUAGAAUGCUAGGUGUAAGGCUGAUAUCUUUUGAUCCCUAGUGGAAUACUAAAGGCGAAAGCAGUUCUCUAAGUAAUGAUUGACGCUGAGGGAUGAAAGCAUAGGUAGCAAAAUGGAUUAGAUACCCAAGUAGUCUGUGCAGUAAACGAUUUACACUUUUUGCUCAAAAUGGGUAAUAAGCAAAUGCCGUAAGUGUAACACCUUGUGAGUACAGCCCCAGGGCAGAAAACAAAAAGAUUAGAUCAUCCUAAAAACCCGGAGUGGAGCAUGUUAUUUAAUUCGAUAACCCGCGAAAAACCUUACCUUUCCUUGAAUGUGGUUUCAAAUUCGAAACUAACACAGGUGCUGCAUGGCUGUCGACAGUUCGUGUCGUAAGACGUUAGGUUUAGUCCACAAACGGAUGUAACCCCUACUCAAAAGAAAUUCGUAUCUUGAGAAAAUUCUUUUAUAAAAAGAACUUACUUUUAGGUCCUACCUUCAGGGAAUACGACAAGCCCUCAUGGCCCUUAUGGAAAAUGGGCUAUAGACGUGCUACAUGAAUUGAACAAACUGAGGCAAUAUUCAAAAUAAAGCUAACCAGUAAAAUACAAUAUAGUUCGAAAGGGAUUGUAAUCUGAAAUUCGAUUACAUGAACCAGGAAUUCCGAGUAAUCGUUGAUUAGUAUGCAACGGUGAAUUGUAUUCUUUAGGAGGUACUAACCGUCCAUCAAGCCCGGCCCGUUGAUUAAGUCUGUAACUCGUGUUUUUCGAAAGAAAAAUAGGUGGAAAGGCUUUCAGCUGGCGGGACUAAGUUGUAGCAUGGUAGCCGUAAGGGAACUUGCGGCUG